UGGGGAAUAUUGUACAAUGGACGGAAGUCUGAUGCAGCGACGCCGCGUGGGGGAUGAAGGCUUUCGGGUUGUAAACUCCUUUUGAUGCUGAACAAGGCUCUUUUUAGGGUUGAGGGUAGGUGUUGAAUAAGCGCCGGCUAACUACGUGCCAGCAGCCGCGGUAAUACGUAGGGCGCGAGCGUUGUCCGGAAUUAUUGGGCGUAAAGGGCUCGUAGGCGGUUUGUCGCGUCUGCUGUGAAAGACCGGGGCUUAACUCCGGGGUUGCAGUGUGUACGGGCAGACUAGAGUGCGGUAGGGGUAGCUGGAAUUCCUGGUGUAGCGGUGGAAUGCGCAGAUAUCAGGAGGAACGCCAAUGGCGGAGGCAGGUUACUGGGCCGUUACUGACGCUGAAGAGCGAAAGCAUGGGGAGCGAACAGG
rnacentral:rRNA from 1 species